rnacentral:lncRNA from 1 species
UAAUUGAGGCCCAGGUCACGAACUACCGAUUUCGCAUGAUACAUGGUUUUCGGAAUGGUCGACUCCCCAUUUGGAAUAGCACGACGCAUGAUGGAUAGUAAUUUCUGAAAACUUUUAUCACUCCAAUGAUUGUCGCAUUUCAACUAAUACAAUUCCAAGAUAAAAGAUAGUUUGGAAAACUCAGUGCAACCAGGAUAUAAUUGUU